rnacentral:tRNA from 1 species
AGCAUGUUAGCUCAGGGGAAGAGCGGUAAGUUUGCUACAUAAUUGAAAAUUGGCAGAAUAAAAAUGCUAAUCCAAAUAUAGCCGGGCUCAUAACCCGGAGGUCCUCGGAUCGAAACCGAGACAUGCUA